GUCCGGGUGGCGGAAUGGCAGACGCGCUAGCUUGAGGUGCUAGUCCCCGUUAAGGGGGUGGGGGUUCAAGUCCCCCCUCGGACAC
rnacentral:tRNA from 1 species